GAUGAACGCUGGCGGCGUGCCUAUACCUGCAAGUUGAACGAACGGACCAGUAACUUCUUUCUCUGAUGUUUGCGGCGUACGGGUGAGUAACACGUUGAUAACCUACCUAUAAUUCUGUGGUAACUUCGGGAAACCGGCUUUAAUUCCUGCUAAUUUCUUGCUCCGCGUGGUUCCAAAGUAUAUUCCGGCCUUGCUCUCUUUUAUAGACGGAUCCGCGCUGCAUUAGUUAGUUGGUUAGGUAACGGCCUACCAAGGCAACGAUGCAUAGCCGACCUGAGAGGGUGAUCGGCCACACUGGAACUGAGACACGGUCCAGACUCCUACGGGAGGCAGCAGUGGGGAAUCUUGCGCAAUGGGCGAAAGCCUGACGGAGCCACACCGCGUGAGUGAAGAAGGUCUUCGGAUUGUAAAACUCUGUUGUUGGGGAAGAAAAGAUGUAUGAGAAAAUGUGGACGUCUUGACGGUACCUAAAGAAAAAGCCACGGCUAACUACGUG
rnacentral:rRNA from 1 species